rnacentral:rRNA from 1 species
UUGAACGCUGGCGGCAUGCCUUACACAUGCAAGUCGAACGGCAGCACGGGAGCAAUCCUGGUGGCGAGUGGCGAACGGGUGAGUAAUAUAUCGGAACGUGCCCAGUCGUGGGGGAUAACGUAGAGAAACUUACGCUAAUACCGCAUACGAUCUAUGGAUGAAAGCGGGGGAUCGCAAGACCUCGCGCGAUUGGAGCGGCCGAUGUCAGAUUAGCUAGUUGGUGGGGUAAAGGCCCACCAAGGCGACGAUCUGUAGCUGGUCUGAGAGGACGACCAGCCACACUGGGACUGAGACACGGCCCAGACUCCUACGGGAGGCAGCAGUGGGGAAUUUUGGACAAUGGGCGCAAGCCUGAUCCAGCAAUGCCGCGUGCAGGAAGAAGGCCUUCGGGUUGUAAACUGCUUUUGUACGGAACGAAAAGGUCUGGGUUAAUACCCUGGGCUCAUGACGGUACCGUAAGAAUAAGCACCGGCUAACUACGU